GUCCUCCUCAUCCCACAGGCAGGCAGGGGCCCAGCGGGAGGUGCAGAGGGAAGCUCAGGGCCACAUCAGCAUGUCCCAGUGUCAGGUGGAGUGAGCAAGGUGAGAUCUGGUCAAGGGGGAGUGGCAGGGGAGGUGGCUGCCAAGGUGUGGGGCUGCCACAGCAGAGGAAACCGUGGGAAGGAUUGUCCAGGGAGAGCCGUGGGACUGGACGGGGGAGGAAGCCCAAGGCUGGCAGGGAGAAGCCCAGAAGUGGGGAACCCCUGCCCAGGAGCUGGCCCUGCAUCAGGCUGCUCCAGGGCCCGAGAGGAAUGGGCCACCUUGGGUCUUGGUGUCAUAGCACCAACUGCUGCAUGGAGGGCAGGAAAAGCACCGUGGUUCUGGGAUCCAGUGUGAUGGGCUUCAGCACCACCCUGGUUUCCACAGAUGGAGCAAGCAAGCAAGAGAAUCUGCACUCGACCAAAAUGCACCGUGCCACACCAAAUGCAGCGAGGCAGGCCCACACGCUUCUUUGCAUAUUUAAUGAUUAUUGACUUUUUAAAUUGGUUUUAAAAUAAAACAGCUUCUGGGUGAAUGCAGACGUGCGAGGGUGGCUGAAGGGGUGGCUGAAGGGGUGACCGGUCCCCACCUCCUGCAGUCAUCCCCCUUCCACGCCUCAAGCUCACCUUUCCCCCAAUUUCCCAUAAACAUGUAUUUUCAGUGCAAAUUGUUUCACAACCGAACGUGCUGUAGAUAGAGUCGGGUGGCACAGUGAACAGGCUUUUCAUAAACAAGGGGACUGUGAGGCGCUGCGGUGCCAUCAGAUAGCCAGCUGCCUUCUGCAGGGAGCCCAGCCUGCUGCUCUACAUAAUAAGAACAUAAAGAGUCGCAUUUUAUUGAUAUGUGAACAGUUUAUUGCUUUCUGUGAUUUAACAUCUUUACCAAAUGUGGUGGAUUAGACUCUCCAUUUCAUUAAAGCAGGAUUGCUGGCCCUGUUUCAUUAUCGCUGUUCUGAUCCUCAAGGAGAAAAAAAUCUUGCACACAGCUUUUAGCUACUUAAUUAUUAUGGUGGGCAGCGAUCGCAAAAUCCACACGGAACUCUCUUUGUAGAAAUACACAAAGAGCGUGGUUUUCUGCAUAAGGAGUGGAGACAGCAGAAGACUCUCUCCUUCUGCUGAUGAAUAGAUGGCCUCAGUGGGCACCGUCUUUCAGCUCACAUGCGUUUUGGAGACCUUGUUGGUUCUGGGCCGGGUGAUGGUUUGUACUGAUGUGCACUGACUCACAGUCAGACACAACCGAAACAAACAAACAAGACCCCUAUUUCAUGGAUGGAAAGAUGGAGAACGUCAGUGUCACAACUCUCCCAGGAAGAGUCACGGUCCAACAGGAGACCAGAGGAGGGUUUACGACCCUCCUAACUGACCAUUCGUUUCCACCCAGGAGCUUUUGAAGACAUGGCGGCGGUCUCAGUUCCCCCUCAGGGAUACCAAAGUGACUUUCUGCUUUUCCUCUCUCCUCAGGCUCCCAGGAGAAACUUGCUUGUCCCUCCUGCAUGUGCCUUUCCUCCCCCACCCCUUGCCUCUGGGGCAGCCGCACUCCGGCAGCACAACUGGCCGCCUCAAGUCCAGGGGGCCAUGCUGCCGUGGCACCGAGGGGCACACUGUCUGAUGCGCCUCAUCUUUUCUGUGCACAUGGGCAACGGACAACUCAGCGGCCACGGUAACCACGGAGAUGCCUCCAGAAGGUGGAGAACCCACCCCACAGGGCUGUGGCACACAAAAGACACCACUGUGCAGAGCCAGAUGCCCUUCCCAGCUGGACAGCACCCUGGCACGCCAGCCACGCUCUCUGGGAUCAGAAGUGGAAUACUAAGGGGGCUCUCCUGGUCACAUGUCGUCCUCCAAGGUUCUCCACUGGCCUGGGAAGCUUUGCAGACACACUGAUGCAGAGCCUGCUGCCCGGAGCUGCUUCAGUCCGGGUGGCUAAGAACCUCCCCUCCGACGGUAUGUGAAGCCAAGUCAAAAGCCCACUGCUUCAAUGCUUGGGGUGGAAAUGAGUAAACUCUAGUUGGAAACAAGAGUACAGAGGCCCAGAGAGGCUUCCUCUUGUGUUUGGGUCACACAGCUCUUUGCUUGCACAGUGAUUGCAGUCCUGAUUUUCUUAGCCCAAAGUUGAUAUCCUUCAGAUACAGCUCUGAGCCCGGCUGAAUAUCAGAAUCACUAGGAGACUUGAAUCAGGACUGGAGUCUGGAUUUCAACCAAUAUCAGGCACUCUUCUUUCUAAAUCUCCUCCUGUGAAUGGAAUGUAAAAACUAGGUUUGAAGUCAAUUUUACUACCCUGCAAUCAACUGUCUCGAGCUCCCUGGAGUGCGUGUUGACAGGGUUGACUCUAGGACUCCACCUCGGCUCACCAAGGCACAGUGUGUGACCUGGGGUCCGGGAGCCGGGUUUGAAAUCCAGAUCAAGCCCUCUGGCAGGCCUUCCGUUGUGUCGUGAUGAGCGUCCUCCAUUCCGUACCCAAGCAUUUAAGGCUGAGUGGCUCUUCUGGUCCUCCCCGGGUCCCCUCCCUCCCUCUGUCUCUCCUCCUUCUCCCCCGCUCUUUUUGUGUGUAUGUGUCUGUGUAUUAAAAAACCACUCUGCUGUCUCGGAAUAGACUUAUUUUCG
rnacentral:lncRNA from 1 species